rnacentral:rRNA from 1 species
UACGUAGGGUGCGAGCGUUGUCCGGAAUUAUUGGGCGUAAAGAGCGUGUAGGCGGCCAGACAGGUCCGUUGUGAAAACUCGAGGCUCAACCUCGAGGCGUCGACGGAAACCGUCUGGCUAGAGUCCGGAAGAGGAGAGUGGAAUUCCUGGUGUAGCGGUGAAAUGCGCAGAUAUCAGGAAGAACACCAAUGGCGAAAGCAGCUCUCUGGGACGGUACUGACGCUGAGACGCGAAAGCGUGGGGAGCGAACAGG